ensembl:snRNA U1 U1 spliceosomal RNA
AUACUUACCUGGGCAGGGGCAAUACCAUGAUCAAGUAGGUGGUUUCGCCCAAGGCGAGGCUCAACGCAUUGGCAACUCAGUGUGCUGACCUUUGGCGAAUUCUCCUUAUGUAAUCUCUGCCACAAUUUCUUAUACUGUCGUUCGCAGCUUU